rnacentral:rRNA from 1 species
AUUGAACGCUGGCAGCAUGCUUUACACAUGCAAGUCGAACGGCAGCGGAGAGUGCUUGCACUCUGCCGGCGAGUGGCGAACGGGUGAGUAACAUAUUGGAACGUACCGAGUAAAGGGGGAUAACUAUCCGAAAGGAUAGCUAAUACCGCAUACGCUUUGAGAAGGAAAGUGGGGGAUCUUCGGACCUCACGUUAUUCGAGCGGCCAAUAUCUGAUUAGCUAGUUGGUGGGGUAAAGGCCUACCAAGGCGACGAUCAGUAGCGGGUCUGAGAGGACGAUCCGCCACACUGGGACUGAGACACGGCCCAGACUCCUACGGGAGGCAGCAGUGGGGAAUUUUGGACAAUGGGCGCAAGCCUGAUCCAGCCAUGCCGCGUGUCUGAAGAAGGCCUUCGGGUUGUAAAGGACUUUUGUUAGGGAAGAAAAGAAAUGGGUUAAUACCCCAUUUUGCUGACGGUACCUAAAGAAUAAGCACCGGCUAACUACGUG